CCCUUAGACGUUCUGGGCCGCACGCGCGCUACACUGACGGAGCCAGCGAGUAUAAACCUUGGCCGAGAGGUCUGGGAAAUCUUGUGAAACUCCGUCGUGCUGGGGAUAGAGCAUUGUAAUUAUUGCUCUUCAACGAGGAAUUCCUAGUAAGCGCAAGUCAUCGGCUUGCGUUGAUUACGUCCCUGCCCUUUGUACACACCGCCCGUCGCUACUACCGAUUGAAUGGCUUAGUGAGGCUUCCGGAUUGGUUUAGAGAAGGGGGCAACUCCAUCUUGGAACCGAGAAGCUAGUCAAACUUGGUCAUUUAGAGGAAGUAAAAGUCGUAACA
rnacentral:rRNA from 1 species